AUUUGAGACUCGUGAUAGUUCUCGGGGCACUUCCUGCCCUGUGCUGGAAAAGGAAGACGACUGUUCGAACUGACCAGGAGGCAAAAUAUUUCCACGCCGCCGGGACAGAAGGAAACAUCUCGUGGGCUUGGUUCCCAUCAGCACACGUCCACCAGCCCGGCUUCUGGAAAGGAGCAGUGCUUCUGCAUGUUCUUCCCCAAAACAUGGUGCCCUGGGAACGGACUCUGAAGUACAUCAGAAAACCAGGCAACGGCAUAUAUUGCUGCACAGUGUCAAGAUGCUAUUCUCUGCUUUGUACCCUUACCACAUGUCCAUCCUAAAGACAUGCAGCACUUGAUAACAGCCACUGGGGGGCAGACUUCCACAUGGCACUGACUGACCAGCAGGGACUACUUCAGAAGCAUCGGGAAGCAGACAGCAAGUGGAAGCUGAAAUUGAAGUCCUGGGAGAUUUCUGAAAAUAUUACGAGCUUACAAUAUUCAUUUAUUUUUUAAAUGGCACAUACCUACUUAUCAUAGGGACUGUGGUUGGUUUUCUUAUCUGCCUCUUUCUAGCAUGACCCUGUCCUUCCCUCCCCCUCACUGCCAUGGAAACUGAUGUGACUUUGAAACGGAUUUGUGCCAUUUCUCUUCUGGUUCGACGUCACGCAGCCUUUGUGGAGAAUUAGAGGUAACUUCAAUUCACCUCUCAUUCCUCACUUUUUGUCCUCCAAACUUGAUAACGGCUUCCUUCCUAGGAAAGAUAAAAUUCCAGAGCCUCUCCUCCCAUUGAACUUCAUUCUCCUUUCACUUCUGAGUACUGAACCACCUCAUAAUUCUAAUUCUUCACAUGAAGUUCUCCUAGUAGACUUCCUGUCCUUUUUCAGUUGUUCUCAUGGAUAAGAAGAUGAAAUGUGAGUUGGAAGAUAAUAUUAUAAAGUCCAUUUUCAUCUGAAUGAACAAGCCACCAAAAGAGUUCUAAUUAAGGCUUCAUGAUCAGGCUGGGG